GUGCUGCUGGUGCAAUUGUAUCAUCCAAGAUUCCCAUUCUUGCGACCUGGGUUUGAUUCCCUGGGCAGCACA
rnacentral:tRNA from 1 species